rnacentral:misc_RNA from 1 species
UGUGGGAGCGGGCUUGCUCGCGAAUGCGGAAUGUCAGCUGAUAUAUUCAUGACUGAUACACCGCUUUCGCGAGCAAGCCCGCUCCCACA